rnacentral:rRNA from 1 species
UACGGGGGGGCAAGCGUUGUUCGGAAUUACUGGGCGUAAAGGGCUCGUAGGCGGCCAACUAAGUCAGACGUGAAAUCCCAGGCUUAACCUGGGAACUGCAUCCGAUACUGGAUGGCUUGAAUCCGGGAGAGGGAUGCAGAAUUCCAGGUGUAGCGGUGAAUGCGUAGAUAUCUGGAGGAAUACCGGUGGCGAAGGCGGCAUCCUGGACCGGCAUUGACGCUGAGUGAGCGAAAGCCAGGGGAGCA